rnacentral:rRNA from 1 species
GCGCAGGAAAAGAAACCAACAGGGAUUGCCUCAGUAACGGCGAGUGAAGCGGCAAAAGCUCAAAUUUGAAAUCUGGCGCCUUUGGCGUCCGAGUUGUAAUUUGUAGAGGUAGCUUUGGGUGUACAGCCAGGUUUAUGUUCCUUGGAACAGGACGUCAUGGAGGGUGAGAAUCCCGUAAAUGAGUUGGCCAGUGGCUAUGUAUAGGGCCUUCGACUAGUCGAGUUGUUUGGGAAUGCAGCUCUAAGUGGGUGGUAAAUUCCAUCUAAAGCUAAGUACUGACGAGAGACCGAUAGGGCACAGCUCAAGUGAUCGAAAGGUGAAAAGCACUCCGGAAGGAGAGUUAAACAGCACGUGAAAUUGUUGAAAGGGAAGCGCUUGAUACCAGACUCAGGCAGGGUUGAUCAACCUCCAUUCUUGGUGGUGCACUCUUCUCUGCCCCCCCCGUGAACAGUUUCAGCGGUGGUAUAAAGGUUUACGGAAUGUGGCUCUCUUCCAUGAGUGUUAUAAAAUAAUUCAUGAUGCCGCCAAUUGAAAUUACAGAACCCUGAACCUCUGUCCAGAUGAGGUCAAUGGUAGUGUUGCUCAUAGUCGUGUCCUCCUAUGUUUCAAUCUAACAUAAAUCCCCCUUGAUGAGUGGCUCAGGCUUCCGCGUUCUUCAUCAUAAUGAUGUGCUCGAGCCCGAGCUGAAAGCGGCGACCUCCAGGCAUGUAAUCUUGUCAGUGGCAGAUGUUUUAGAAAACCCCGACUGCGAAACCCUGGCGUGGGACUUAAUAUACAUUGUCUCCGGGGGGAAGUGAUCCCCCCCGGAGA